rnacentral:sRNA from 1 species
AUGAUCACGGCAAGGAUCCUUGUCGUGAUCUUUCUUAAAUUCAUAGGAAAUAAAAGUGUAAG